rnacentral:rRNA from 1 species
UAAUACGAGGGGACCUAGCGUAGUUCGGAAUUACUGGGCUUAAAGAGUUCGUAGGUGGUUGAAAAAGUUAGUGGUGAAAUCCCAGAGCUUAACUCUGGAACUGCCAUUAAAACUUUUCAGCUAGAGUAUGAUAGAGGAAAGCAGAAUUUCUAGUGUAGAGGUGAAAUUCGUAGAUAUUAGAAAGAAUACCAAUUGCGAAGGCAGCUUUCUGGAUCAUUACUGACACUGAGGAACGAAAGCAUGGGUAGCGAAGAGGAUUAGAUACCCUCGUAGUCCAUGCCGUAAACGAUGUGUGUUAGACGUUGGAAAUUUAUUUUCAGUGUCGCAGCGAAAGCGAUAAACACACCGCCUGGGGAGUACGACCGCAAGGUUAAAACUCAAAUGAAUUGACGGGGACCCGCACAAGUAGUGGAGCAUGUGGUUUAAUUCGAAGAUACGCGCAGAACCUUACCAACACUUGACAUGUUCGUCGCGACUCUAAGAGAUUAGAGUUUUCGGUUCGGCCGGACGAAACACAGGUGCUGCAUGGCUGUCGUCAGCUCGUGUCGUGAGAUGUUGGGUUAAGUCCCGCAACGAGCGCAACCCUCACUUUUAGUUGCCAUCAUUAAGUUGGGCACUCUGAAAGAACUGCCAGUGAUAAGCUGGAGGAAGGUGGGGAUGACGUCAAGUCCUCAUGGCCCUUACGUGUUGGGCUACACACGUGCUACAAUGGUAUCCACAACAGGAAGCAAGACUGCGAGGUCAAGCAAAUCCUUAAAAGAUACCUCAGUUCGGAUUGCACUCUGCAACUCGAGUGCAUGAAGCUGGAAUUACUAGUAAUCGUGGAUCAGCGUGCCACGGUGAAUGCGUUCCCGGGUCUUGUACACACCGCCCGUCACACCAUGGGAGUUGGUUCUACCUUAAGGCAAGGUUUAAAACCCUUGACCACGGUAUAGUCAGCGACUGGGGUGAAGUCGUAACAAGGUAGCCG